UUCAGAGGUCCCGAGCGUUGUUCGGAUUUACUGGGCGUAAAGGGAGCGUAGGCGGUUCGGUAUGUCGAAUGUGAAAGCCCACAACUCAACUGUGGAAAUGCAUUCGAAACUGCCGGGCUAGAGUACUGGAGAGGAGAGCGGAAUUCUUGGUGUAGCGGUGAAAUGCGUAGAUAUCAAGAGGAACACCGGUGGCGAAGGCGGCUCUCUGGACAGAUACUGACGCUGAGGCUCUAAAGUUAGGGGAGCAAACAGGAUUAGAUACC
rnacentral:rRNA from 1 species